rnacentral:rRNA from 1 species
GGUGAGUAACGCGUUGGUGACCUGCCCCGAAGCGGGGGAUAACAGCUCGAAAGGGCUGCUAAUACCCCAUGUGGUGUCACAGGUUAGAGGCUGUGGCACUAAAGGAGCGAUCCGCUUUGGGAGGGGCCUGCGUCCCAUCAGCUAGUUGGUAGGGUAAAGGCCUACCAAGGCCGAGACGGGUAGGGGGCCUGAGAGGGUGACCCCCCACAAUGGAACUGAAACACGGUCCAUACACCUACGGGUGGCAGCAGUAGGGAAUAUUGCACAAUGGGCGAAAGCCUGAUGCAGCAACGCCGCGUGUGCGAUGAAGGCCUUCGGGUUGUAAAGCACUUUUCGGGGAGAUGAGGAAGGACAGUAUCCCGGAAUAAGGCUCGGCUAACUACGUGCCAGCAGCCGCGGUAAAACGUAGGAGCCAAGCGUUAUCCGAAUUUACUGGGCGUAAAGCGCGUGUAGGCGGCGCGGAAAGUUGGAUGUGAAAGCUCCUGGCUCAACUGGGAGAGGACGUUCAGAACUACCGAGCUAGAGGGCGACAGAGGGAGGUGGAAUUCCCGGUGUAGUGGUGAAAUGCGUAGAUAUCGGGAGGAACACCAGUGGCGAAGGCGGCCUCCUGGGUCGCACCUGACGCUCAGACGCGAAAGCUAGGGUAGCGAACGGGAUUAGAAACCCCGGUAGUCCUAGCCGUAAACGAUGUAGACUGGGUGUUGGUGGUGUAAGAGCCAUCAGUGCCGAAGCCAACGCGAUAAGUCUACCGCCUGGGGACUACCGGCCGCAAGGUU